CCUGAAGGUCCAGCGAGUGGGGUUGGUAUCAAUGUGUAGGCCUAGUGGAUCCACACCGUGACCUAGUGCACUGGACCCUGUUGAUAUGCAGCCACCUCAGCUUCAUGAAGAAACGGCAAGAUUCAGAUGACUACACCGUUUCAGAUCUACUCAUCUCGCUCACCUGUCCACCUGGAUGAAGGAUCACACUCUGCAGCUGAACAUGUCCAAAACCAAGCUCCCAAUCAAAUUGUUCUAGGUUAAUCUCUAACAACAACCUUUUUCUUCACGCAUUGUGCCUUGCUGAUUUUGUUUGUUUGCACAUGUGACUGAGGUAGCCUGGUUUUACCAGACCACAUUAAUUGCUUCGUAAGUAAUUUUAGGUCUGGAUCCUUCGUGUCCUUGAGCACCAGGGCGGGAGAAGUGAGCUCAGCUCUGAUUUGAAAUGAGCUCUGUCCAAUCGCUGACAAUUGACGUAUGUUAUUCUGCCAAGUGCAUUCACGCCGGUUGUCAGUGUUGCCAGAUGUACGAUAAUUUAUACCAUAAUUUUGUUCUUCUGCCGGUCAGGUAGCUUAUGUCACACUUAGUAUACAAAGCUUGACAUGGUACCGUUAUAGUCCCAAGAUGGAGCAAACAACACAGGUGUUGACAUUAUAUAGCAUGGGCAACUUAUGAUGAGGAGGGCCAUGUUUUUUUCAGCACCAGCAUCAGGGGUUCACAUGACCACGGAUCUGACUCCAAUUUACAGAGUUGGUUGUUCUCUAACUGUCCAUAUUGUUUGGAAGGAAUAUAAUACUCUACCUGUAUACUCAAUACUCUAUUGGGCAGUCAUGGGUAAGCAGUUAGGGUGUCAGACUUGUAGCCCAAAAGUUGCCGGUUCAACUCCCGACCCGCCAGGUUGGUGGGGGGAGUAAUAAACCAGUGCUCGCCCCCAUCCUCCUCCAUGACUGAGUUACCCUGAGCAUGGUACCGUCCCGCCUUGCUUCUUUGGGGCACCAUUGAGGGCUGCCCCCUUGCACGGAUGAGACAUGAAUGCACUUUCGUAGUGUGCAGUGUUCACUUGCGUGCUGUGUCACAAUGACAAUGUGAGUUGGAGUUUCCCAAUUGGGCUUUCACUUUCACGCUUUCACUCUAUUGGCCCACAGUAUAAUUACAACAGAUUGAUUCAGUAAUCGUGUUUAAAAAAUAUGGUCAUUAUUUUCUUAAUUAGGCCUACUGUUUUAUCUAUAGGGCGCAUUGAGUGAGGAGGCGGGCUGCAUGUGGCCCCCGGGCAUCCAUUUGCCCAUCCCUGUUGUAGAGUGAAC